rnacentral:rRNA from 1 species
GAUGAACGCUGGCGGCGUGCCUAAUACAUGCAAGUCGAGCGAACAGACGAGGAGCUUGCUCCUCUGACGUUAGCGGCGGACGGGUGAGUAACACGUGGAUAACCUACCUAUAAGACUGGGAUAACUUCGGGAAACCGGAGCUAAUACCGGAUAAUAUAUUGAACCGCAUGGUUCAAUAGUGAAAGACGGUUUUGCUGUCACUUAUAGAUGGAUCCGCGCCGCAUUAGCUAGUUGGUAGGUAACGGCUUACCAAGGCGACGAUGCGUAGCCGACCUGAGAGGGUGAUCGGCCACACUGGAACUGAGACACGGUCCAGACUCCUACGGGAGGCAGCAGUAGGGAAUCUUCCGCAAUGGGCGAAAGCUUGACGGAGCAACGCCGCGUGAGUGAUGAAGGUCUUCGGAUCGUAAAACUCUGUUAUUAGGGAAGAACAAAUGUGUAAGUAACUAUGCACGUCUUGACGGUACCUAAUCAGAAAGCCACGGCUAACUACGUG